CCUACGGGAGGCAGCAGUCGAGAAUCUUCCGCAAUGCGCGCAAGCGUGACGGAGCGACGCCGCGUGGGGGAUGAAGGCCUUCGGGUUGUAAACCCCUGUCACCUGGGAAGAAAAGUAGGCAGUUAAUAGCCGUCCUGCUUGACGUUACCAGGGGAGGAAGCACCGGCUAAAUACGUGCCAGCAGCCGCGGU
rnacentral:rRNA from 1 species